rnacentral:rRNA from 1 species
UACGAAGGGGGCUAGCGUUGUUCGGAAUCACUGGGCGUAAAGAGCUCGUAGGCGGUCCGUCACGUCGGAUGUGAAAUUCCAGGGCUCAACCCUGGACCUGCAUUCGAUACGGGCGGACUAGAGUUCGGUAGGGGAGACUGGAAUUCCUGGUGUAGCGGUGAAAUGCGCAGAUAUCAGGAGGAACACCGGUGGCGAAGGCGGGUCUCUGGGCCGUAACUGGACGCUGAGGAGCGAAAGCAUGGGGAGCGAACAGG